rnacentral:rRNA from 1 species
AGUGAAGCGGCAAAAGCUCAAAUUUGAAAUCCUUCGGGAGUUGUAAUUUGUAGGUUGGGAGACCCCGCGGCUAGUGGCACCAAGUCCCUUGGAACAGGGCGCCUUAGAGGGUGAGAGCCCCGUAGGUACCACAACACCGUCUUGUGUCUCCUCUCCAAAGAGUCGAGUUGUUUGGGAAUGCAGCUCAAAGUGGGUGGUAAAUUCCAUCUAAAGCUAAAUACCGGCGAGAGACCGAUAGCGAACAAGUACAGUGAUGGAAAGAUGAAAAGCACUUUGAAAAGAGAGUGAAACAGUACGUGAAAUUGUUGAAAGGGAAGGGCUUGCAAGCAGACACGGCCUUCGUGCCGGGCCAGCAUCGGUUGCUAGGGGUGGAUAAGGAACAAGGAAUGUAGCUCCUCGGAGUAUUAUAGCCUUGCGCGAUACACCCACUGGCGACCGAGGCCUGCGGUAUUCCUACCUAGGAUGCUGGCGUAAUGGUUGCAAGCCGCCCGUCUUAAACACCGGGACCAAU